CUAAUACAUGCCAAGUCGAGCGGACCGACGGGAGCUUGCUCCCUUAGGUCAGCGGCGGACGGGUGAGUAACACGUGGGUAACCUGCCUGUAAGACUGGGAUAACUCCGGGAAACCGGGGCUAAUACCGGAUGCUUGAUUGAACCGCAUGGUUCAAUCAUAAAAGGUGGCUUUUAGCUACCACUUGCAGAUGGACCCGCGGCGCAAUAGCUAGUUGGUGAGGUAACGGCUCACCAAGGCGACGAUGCGUAGCCCACCUGAGAGGGUGAUCGGCCACACUGGGACUGAGACACGGCCCAGACUCCUACGGGAGGCAGCAGUAGGGAAUCUUCCGCAAUGGACGAAAGUCUGACGGAGCAACGCCGCGUGAGUGAUGAAGGUUUUCGGAUCGUAAAACUCUGUUGUUAGGGAAGAACAAGUACCGUUCGAAUAGGGCGGCACCUUGACGGUACCUAACCAGAAAGCCACGGCUAACUACGUGC
rnacentral:rRNA from 1 species